GGGCUAUCCUGUGUUUCCUUUAUGCCUUAUGCAUUUAAGCUAUUUUUUUCUGAAUGUACAAACCUUGCACUUCCUUCAUCAAUAUCACCAGGGCUCUUCUAUUAGAUCUGAUCUUAUUAGAUCAAAAUUUAAAUAUAGGAUAGAAAACCUAGUAUUUCUAGCAAGCUCUAGAAAUGCCGAUCAUCCCAUAUGAACAUUAAUGAUUGAUACUAUUUUUUUGGCCAUGCCUGUGGUGUGUGGAAGUUCCCUGGUCAGGGAUCAAAGCUACAGCAGCGACCAGAGCUAUGGCAAUGACAACACUGGAUCCUUAACCCACUCUGCCACAAGGGAACUCCUAAUGAUUGAGACUAUUGCUUUAAGAAAAUAUUUUGCAAAUAUAAAUGAUUAAGGAAAGGGCUGGAAGAAUAAGAAAUAGAGUGGCCAAACUACUCCUGAAGAAAGAGUUUUAACUAAAGAAACACCCCCCCCCGCCCCCAUCACUGAGGAGGCAGCUACAUGCCUGACAGCAGCUUUGCUCGCCCCAUACCACCCUUCUUGUAAUGUUAUAGCAACUAUGUACCUUAUGUCCUUGCUAGCAGCCCUGCUAACCCUGCUCCAAGCAUUGUUUAUCAGUUUCACUUUUGUAAUCUUAUUUGCUCAGCUUCUUAGGCAGGAACUCUGCCUCUCGGGAAGGGGGAGGGCUGGGUCUGCUUGCAUAGGAAAACCUUGAGACCAGGAAGUCUGCGUUGUAUAAAAGCUAUCCAGAACAAAGACCUCGUGCUCAGACUCUGGAGGCGGCUCCUCUGAGCCCGCACUGGUGCCAAGUAAACCUGGCUAUUCCACAUCUCUGAGUACCGCUUAUCUCUUUCUGCUGCCACGGUUUCUGCAACACUCCCAGUAAUUCAUGUUGAUGGAUUGAACUAAGCGAAUUUCCAAGAUUGUAAAUUGCAGACUGUGGAGAUGACAGGAGCAGGAGUCCUUCUGUGGAGGUUGGGGUAGGAGCUAAUUAAAUAGAGGGGAGAUAGAGAAUGGGACCCUAGGAAGUCAUUCCUCCUUUCUGUGCUUGUAAAGAUAGGCUUGGGCAGAACAAAAGAGAAAAAGGUAAAAAGGGAAGAGAGCAAGACAGUUUGUGGUGUCUCACAGGGAGGAAAAACAGAUUUCAGUUUACCUAAAAAACCAAAGCCUUUCCUUGCUUUCCUUCCAGAUCACUCUCCUCCCACCCGCUGCCUCCCUGAGGGCUGUAACCUCGCCUGUUUUUUCCUUGUUGUUGCCUCCCAGCAGAAAUCUGUGAGUGUACUGGUCGCAUCAUCUGCAGGGAAGGACAUGGCUUACGCUUUGAGUAACUACUCUUCCUUGCAUGUAGUUGAACCUGGGAAGGGAAUGGUGCCAUAUGGAGGAGACUGUGCCCCUCUUGUCACCUAUAUGCUAGGGGAUCUGUAUUGAAUGUAGGGUACUGCAUUAUCUUGAUCUCAGGAGACAAAGAUACUCCUUAAACUGGAGUUAGCCUUACCUUAAAGGAUGAGAUCAUUUCUUUGACCAGCAAUCUCUUUCUUAUCAAAUGUCCUCUCUCUGGUCCACAACAGAAUAGGAAGCCCAUAGGGAACCUUCUGGUUUUAACUUGGGCUUUUGACGUUGCCUUUGAAGAAUAUCCUGGAGCUUGAUCCAGAACAGCCAAAUAUAAGAUGACAAUUCCCAUAAGGGGACCAGC
rnacentral:lncRNA from 1 species